UCCACAGUAGAAAGUGACAUGAGUUUUCUUAUUCUUGUUUACUGACAUUUUCUAAAUGUCUAUUUUCAUGUAAGACUGUAAAUAUGUGUUUUUUUUUCUUUUUCUUUUUGGUUGAAAUAUGUGUUCGUUUCUAAAUAUAUCCAUUUGCUUACUUGCAGCAGUCGUGUUGUUCGUGUCUUCUUUGGUUACUGAUCUGAGUGAGUCAGCCUGCUGGUGAGGAGCCGCUGAUGCACACAGCCUCUCAGAGACGUCGACAACACACCCACUCGUGUUUUUGCGCACUUUCUCUGAACAAGUUGCAAAACAGAACAAGUGAAGUGAAAUAAGAAAGCAACAAACUCACUCUGACGUCAGUGAUGACGCCAGUAUUCCCAGCAGCAACUUGUGAGCAGCAACCUAAAGACGAUGGGUGGGAAACAGUGCAACAGGUGCGUACAGGUAAAUGUGUUCAUUUUUAACUUUCACACGGCUUUAGCAAUAAGGACCAGGCCUAAAAAUAUAUUGUUUAGACUUUGUCUGUAAUAUUGAGUAAAGUUUUAGAGUUCCUUCUUACAGAAAAUUAGAGAAAGAUGUGAAUGUAUUGUGUGACACUUAGCAGGGAAAACACUGACGGAUGAUUUAAAAUACCUGCAAAGGAAGAAAAAAUUUCUGUAAAAUGUGUAUAUAUGUUAUUUUUUAGACUGGUGGAGAAUAAACGUAUUCUUCAUUAAAAUGACUAAAAUCCAAUAUUCACGUCAUUAGUACAUCCUUACUCGGCGUUUUCAUUCAUUUAUAAUGAGCAUAGAAAUGAGCUAGCCUAAGCUUACUUUAAAAGAAAGUCAAAAGUAAACUGAAAAGGAUAAGAGUGGUUUGUAAUAUUUUGCAAGACGGCUGGGGGGGGAAGUCCUUCCAUAUUCUUCCAUAAAACUCAGACUUUCACCAACUGCAUUGCUGCCAUAAAGAAUCGCUUCGAGAAAUGUACAGAAGUUUUAUUGUUCCCGUAAGAAUUUCAGCGUCGUUCUUUAAACCACAUCCUUAAAAAUGUUAAAAUGUCACCAAACCGCACAAUAUCACAGAGCCUGUCAAGACUGUCAGCCAUAAACUCAUGGCCCCCCCUGACUUUUCUGUCUAUUCAAUGCAGGAGACCAUUGUGCCGUUCUUGUGUCAAAUGGUCAUUUCAUUAAUAGCUGACCUAAUACUCAACUCUCUUUGGGUAUUCCACAUAGCAUUUGCUGCCUGGAGGUCUAAAAACACUGAGUAACAUAACAAUUCAACCAUGCAACUUUUUCUGCACAGACUGAUUUUUACAAUCUAUGUCAUAAAGUUGAGACAUAGAUUGAAAUGUCAAUAAAAUGCCACUUAUUGCCCCAGAUUUCUGUCUACACCUGGUUGAAAGUCGCACAAAGACACAAAAUUAAGUUUCGUUGGGGUUUUAUGUGACGAGGCUCGACUCUUGAUAGUUGAAUCUGAUUAUUGAAGGAGCUAUAUCGGGAUGAGAGCAAGGAGGCAUUUGAAAGCACUGGAGCUGUUUACCAAAGAUGAAUCAUAAUUAUCAGAGGGAACAUGAAAACAGCUGGUCAGGUUUGAUUAAUGUCACGCAAGAUUUUUUCCGUCGAUUAUUGAGACGGGUAUAAAGAAUUUCAAACAUGUGACUCAGAUCAAAUGCAGCUCGAAACAAAUGCAUUUUUUGUUGCUUUUAUUAUCCCAUAAAUUGAUAGCCCUUUUACAUUGUGUAAUGUGCAUACAUCCAUCUGCUUUAGACAAAAAUGUUUCACAAUAUCAGGUCUGAAUCCCAUUACCAUGCAAAAAAAAAAAAAAAAAAAAAGCCAUUACCCAAAGUAGGAAAGUAGGGUGUUAUGUAAUAAAAUUAUUCAAAUUACCCAGCUGCAUGCUUACAUCAAGUCAAAACCCUGAUGUUGUGCCUAUAAAAGCUUUUGCAUGUCUGUCUCUGUGGAACCUCAGUGGUGUAACAUCAGUGGAAAGUGCCAUACCUACCCUAAUCCCUUUUAUAAGCUCUGUAGCGAAGGGGACUGAUGAAAGUUCAGCUGAUGUGGACAUCAACUAAAAAUAUAGCCUGCUCUCUCGAGUGUCUUUUUCGCUAUAGAUAAUUUAAUCUAGACAUAUUAGAGACAGGCCGCUUAGUUUUCUUUUCUUGAGUUUGUUUUGUAAUCGUUUUUCCAUUUAUAGGUGAAGAAGAUCCAUGACUUUAUGAUUUGCAAGUGAGGUUUCUACCCGUCUUAUGAGACAAAACCGUAGCAGUAAAAUACGUAAUGGCUAACAACUAAAAUUUUAAGAAAACGUUAAGCAUGGACAAAAGGAUUAAAAACGCAUUUUUGUGAAGAAAUCUUUAUUGGAGUUUACAACACUGGCGCUCAUUUGUUAAGGUUUUUUUGUUUUUGGAUCGGAGUUGGUGUCAUCCUUUUAACAGUUUCCUGAAGAAGCUGACAAAAAAAUUAGCAUAUUUUAACACCUAACAACAACAGAGAUCUGACCUCAAUCAAACAAGUGGCACUUUGUUUUUCACCGUCAGAAAAUUUAAGAUUGACAGUCCAGUUUUUGCAAACAGAAAAACAAACCAGCAGGAAAGGAUGCCAAGUUAUUAUUUCUGCACGGAUAAGACUAAAGUUUCAAAUAAGCAUUUCAGAAGCUUGUUUUGUUUUCUGUAGGACUGUGAACUGGCGUGCUACAAGCUAAGCUACCAGAAUACUCUGCUGUUUCUUGGCAGCAUUACAGCGAUGGUCGUUUUCAAUUCAAAACUCUUGAGCCACUGAUGCCACGAUUCAUGAUUGUCAUUUAAAACUAACAAGGAGGAAUAUCUUCAGUUUCUUGAGCUGCUAAUUGAACUUGGAGUGUGUUAUGGUGCCAAGUAGCUCCCAACAGAAGGAAAAUGUUUUUAGUCAGUUUUUUUUCUUAUGAAUAAAAUUGUUGUUACACUGUGUUUCAGUAUUUAUUCCUAUUGAUAUGCGGUGUCAUUUGUAACUUUUAACUAAUUUAAUUCCCAUGUGUUUAGCCAUAUUUCGCUUUACUUUUUUUUGUCAAAUAUUUUGGUGGCUUAAAUAUGUUGUAGAAAACUCAAAUCCCAGGAUUCAUUUAACUGUACAUUAUUUUCUGAGAUUUUAAUUACACGCAGCCUCAUUUAGGCCAAUUGGCUUUAAGUAUUUAAUUGCCUGAAUAAAGUAAUGUUGUUGACUGACUACUUCUUAAUCAUUCAACAACACUUCUUUACAAUACCAAAACCUAAGCCAGAUUUUGAAACAUUGCUUUAAUUAAUUUACAGUUAAAGUAGGUAGGAGGUAUUAUGGAAUGUAUGCUGCUGGGAGACUUCUUGUAAACAAAAUGUUUUGGUUCUUCAUAUUCAGUGGGCAAAACAAAUGCAAAAUUCUCCUCACAUUAACCUUUGAUGGAGUAUUUUCCAACAGAAACGAGGCAAAUGCUAGCAAAUUUUAAGCUAAUGUAUGACAAACACCAACUAUCCUGUUCUAUAGUUCAGGUGUUGCCCAAACAAUUUAAAUUCUUGUCUUUUAGCCCAAAACAUGAGUACAUAUUUUACUCAAAUAAGUUGCCCUGAAAAAGCCAGAAAGCAUUGAAGUAAGCUCAAAUUUUAAAUGUUUAUAAGCUAGCCAAAUAACUACAUAGCUAGCUAAAUAGUUAUGCAGCUAGCUUUUUAGCUAGUUAAAUGGCUAUACAACCAGGCUCUCUGUAACCUAGCUAGAUGGAUUGGUUAUAAACACUAGAAAACAACCACUUCUUCCCAAUACAUCCCAGAUUUCCUGUAUUAACAAAUUUAAUGUUGUCAGGGUUAGUAGCUGAGUAGCUAACAGGAACAAGGCAAAUGCUAGCUUUUGCCAGGCAAAUGCGGCCAUGUCACUUGGCUUUCGGUUUAAGAGAUGAUACAAAAACCACUGAGUCGAACUUCAUGAAUUAUAACCAGAAACAUGAGAAACUAUUUUGGCUUACAUCCAAAUUAACUACUCUUGCUAGGUGUUUAAAAUGUAUCUAGGCAGCUUCACAACACAGUCAUGAUAAAAAUAAAUAAAUUUUAAAAAAAUGCCUCUUUGAAAGCAACACAAAAGGGGCGAAGGUAAAAAUGACCAGCACCCUUUUACCUUCAUAUUACAAGUUCUGCAUUAUCUUGACUUUAGACUAAAACUACAGUUGGCAAAUUACAAACUUUACCCAUCGUCAUUUCUUUUUCUUCUGUCUAAAAAUAAAGAAAAAAACUGAAAAAGAACUGCUGGUCAAAAAUCAUAUUUCUGAAAUUCACCUCAUAUUUGAGCGGAUAUUGCAAUAAACACAUUUUUUAUGACUGCUAUGCAAAAUAAUUAAACAAUUUAACUUUGUGACAUAUCCACUUUGAAGGGUAAAACUUAAAAAUUCAAUGCUUACAUAAUUUAACAUUGACUGUGCAUAGAUGUCCCAAUGUUCCCGCUCAUAAUUAAAAGUGGUCGAGUCAAUAGGUGCUUGGUAAUUAAUGUCGGCGUUUGAAGAGUACAGAAACGUAGAAUGGACCCAUCAUCAGAAUCAGUGUGCAAAACUAAAAUAUCUUUAUUUUAGCAUCACAUAAUGAAUUACCUGAUUACAAUAAACAGGUGUGUAUUAAUACUCUGCCUUCUACUGUAAAAAAAACAAAUGAGCACAAAAGUCAAUUAAAUCUGUAGUGUCACAGAGAU